AGUGAACGCUGGCGGUAGGCCUAACACAUGCAAGUCGAACGGCAGCACAGUAAGAGCUUGCUCUUACGGGUGGCGAGUGGCGGACGGGUGAGGAAUACAUCGGAAUCUACUUUUUCGUGGGGGAUAACGUAGGGAAACUUACGCUAAUACCGCAUACGACCUACGGGUGAAAGCAGGGGAUCUUCGGACCUUGCGCGAUUGAAUGAGCCGAUGUCGGAUUAGCUAGUUGGCGGGGUAAAGGCCCACCAAGUCGACGAUCCGUAGCUGGUCUGAGAGGAUGAUCAGCCACACUGGAACUGAAACACGGUCCAGACUCCUACGGGAGGCAGCAGUGGGGAAUAUUGGACAAUGGGCGCAAGCCUGAUCCAGCCAUACCGCGUGGGUGAAGAAGGCCUUCGGGUUGUAAAGCCCUUUUGUUGGGAAAGAAAAGCAGCAGGUUAAUACCCCGCUGUUCUGACGGUACCCAAAGAAAAAGCACCGGCUAACUUCGUG
rnacentral:rRNA from 1 species